CCUGCUCAAGGCUGCAGUCAGUGCAGCGCUGGCAUUGAGGGCAACUCCAGCCACAGAGAACCCUGUGCUCAUUUAGUGACUCCAUUCUCCAUCGUAGCUUGCACUUCUCCAGGGGGCAUCCCGGAAGAGAGUCUGCUGUCACACGUGCCGGUUACUGGCACCAUUCUAACGAUGAAGAAAAUGAAGUGUCGUGAUGCAAAUAGGGAAGCUGUCCGAACCUGGUUUUGUUGAUCACCUGGGCUGCCUGGAAGCUG
rnacentral:lncRNA from 10 species